AUGCACUCGGACAGGAAGGAAUGGGAUACAAAGCUUAUUCGGCAGAUUUUUCAUAGUUUUGAUGCGGAGGAAAUUAUAAAGAUUAACAUCCCUAGUACGGACACAAAGGAUCAUAUCGCCUGGCACCAUGAGAGAAAUGGAGUGUUUUCGGUGAGAAGUGCAUAUAAGCUAGCUGCCUCGCUAAAAACACAUGCUGCACAAGAACCCUCGAGCUCUUCAGGUGAGGUGCAGGACCGGAGCAUCUGGGACAGCAUAUGGAAGGCAAAAGUCCCACCGAAAGUCAAAAUAUUUGGAUGGAGGGUUGCAACUAACUCACUUGCAACAAAAAGGAAUAAAUUCAGAAGAACACUUGAGUUAGAUGCUAUUUGUAAUAUAUGUGGCGUCGAUGAGGAGGAUGAGUUCCAUGCCGUACUGAAAUGCACAAAAAGCAUAGCCCUGAGAGAGGCGCUAAGGAAAGUUUGGGACCUUCCUCCUGAGGUUGCAUUCUGCCGUACGGGUCCGGAUUGGCUUCAGAUGUUACUAUGCCCUGAAACUGAAGAAGUUAGAGCAAGAAUUCUCAUGAUGCUUUGGAGAAGCUGGCAUUUGCGUGAUGAUAUUGUGCAUGGGAACGGGAGAGAGACCAUUAAAAAAUCUGUUAUGUUCCUACUGCAGUAUUUUUUUUGA
rnacentral:rRNA from 1 species